AUUGAACGCUGGCGGCAUGCCUAACACAUGCAAGUCGAACGGGGUGUAGCAAUACAUCUAGUGGCGGACGGGUGAGGAAUACAUAGGAAUUUGCCCUUAAGUGGGGGAUAGUCCGGGGAAACUCGGUUUAAUACCGCAUGAUCUCGUGAGAGCAAAGCAGGGGACCGCAAGGCCUUGCGCUUUUGGAGAAGCCUAUGUCGGAUUAGCUAGUUGGUAGGGUAAUGGCCUACCAAGGCGACGAUCCGUAACUGGUCUGAGAGGGUGAUCAGUCACACCGGAACUGAGACACGGUCCGGACUCCUACGGGAGGCAGCAGUGGGGAAUAUUGGACAAUGGGCGCAAGCCUGAUCCAGCAAUGCCGCGUGUGUGAAGAAGGCC
rnacentral:rRNA from 1 species